UACGUAGGGUGCAAGCGUUGUCCGGAAUUAUUGGGCGUAAAGAGCUCGUAGGCGGUUUGACGCGUCGGCUGUGAAAACCUGGGGCUCAACCCCGGGCCUGCAGCCGAUACGGGCAAACUAGAAUUCGGUAGGGGAGACUGGAAUUCCUGGUGUAGCGGUGAAAUGCGCAGAUAUCAGGAGGAACACCGGUGGCGAAGGCGGCAUCCUGGACCAAUUCUGACGCUGAGGAGCGAAAGCCAGGGGAGCAAACGGG
rnacentral:rRNA from 1 species